AGAUUGAACGCUGGCGGCAGGCCUAACACAUGCAAGUCGAGCGGUAGAGAGGUGCUUGCACCUCUUGAGAGCGGCGGACGGGUGAGUAAUGCCUAGGAAUCUGCCUAGUGGUGGGGGAUAACGUUCGGAAACGGACGCUAAUACCGCAUACGUCCUACGGGAGAAAGCGGGGGACCUUCGGGCCUCGCGCCAUUAGAUGAGCCUAGGUCGGAUUAGCUAGUUGGUGAGGUAUGCUCACCAAGGCGACGAUCCGUAACUGGUCUGAGAGGAUGAUCAGUCACACUGGAACUGAGACACGGUCCAGACUCCGUACGGGAGCAGCAGGUGGGAAUAGUUGGACAAGUGGGACAAAGGCCUAGACCCGAGACAAGUCGCCGCGUGAGUGA
rnacentral:rRNA from 1 species